rnacentral:pre_miRNA from 1 species
CCAUUAAGACGAAACUGGUUUUCACAAUGAACUGACAGAUAGAUAUUAAUUCUGAGAUCAUUGUGAAAGCUGAUUUUGUUCGAGUGUCAA